UUACCGGCUUAAAUGGACGGAAACUUUCCCAAGGUGCUGCAUGGUUGUCGUCAGCUCGUGCUGUGAAGUGUCGGGUUAAGUCCCAUAACGAGCACAACCCUAUUCUAGUUGCCAGCGUCGGGACUCUAGAAAACUGCCAGCGUAACUGGAGGAAGGUGGGGAUGACGUCAAAUCAUCACGGCCCUUACGCCGGGCUACACACGUGCUACAAUGGAGGACAAGAGGCACCGCGAGGUGAGCAAUCUUCAACUAUCUCAGUUCGGAUCGGAGUCUGCAACUCGACUCCGUGAAGUUGGAAUCGCUAGUAAUCGCAAUCAGCAUGUGCGGUGAAUACGUUCCCGGGCCUUGUACACACCGCCCGUCAAGCCAUGGAAGCUGGGGGCCGAA
rnacentral:rRNA from 1 species